GAUGAACGCUGGCGGCGUGCCUAAUACAUGCAAGUCGAGCGAACGGACGAGAAGCUUGCUUCUCUGAUGUUAGCGGCGGACGGGUGAGUAACACGUGGAUAACCUACCUAUAAGACUGGGAUAACUUCGGGAAACCGGAGCUAAUACCGGAUAAUAUUUUGAACCGCAUGGUUCAAAAGUGAAAGAUGGUCUUGCUGUCACUUAUAGAUGGAUCCGCGCUGCAUUAGCUAGUUGGUAAGGUAACGGCUUACCAAGGCAACGAUGCAUAGCCGACCUGAGAGGGUGAUCGGCCACACGGGAACUGAGACACGGUCCAGACUCCUACGGGAGGCAGCAGUAGGGAAUCUUCCGCAAUGGGCGAAAGCCUGACGGAGCAACGCCGCGUGAGUGAUGAAGGUCUUCGGAUCGUAAAACUCUGUUAUUAGGGAAGAACAUAUGUGUAAGUAACUGUGCACAUCUUGACGGUACCUAAUCAGAAAGCCACGGCUAACUACGUG
rnacentral:rRNA from 1 species